rnacentral:rRNA from 1 species
UACGGAGGGGGCAAGCGUUGUUCGGAUUUACUGGGCGUAAAGGGCGCGUAGGCGGCUUUGUAAGUUACUUGUGAAAUCUCUGAGCUUAACUCAGAACUGCCAAGUAAUACUGCAGAGCUAGAGUGCAGAAGGGGCAACUGGAAUUCUCGGUGUAGCGGUGAAAUGCGUAGAUAUCGAGAGGAACACCUGAGGCGAAGGCGGGUUGCUGGGCUGACACUGACGCUGAGGCGCGAAAGCUAGGGGAGCAAACAGG